GACGAACGCUGGCGGCGUGCCUAACACAUGCAAGUCGAACGGAAAGGCCCUGCUUUUGUGGGGUGCUCGAGUGGCGAACGGGUGAGUAACACGUGAGUAACCUGCCCUUGACUUUGGGAUAACUUCAGGAAACUGGGGCUAAUACCGGAUAGGAGCUCCUGCUGCAUGGUGGGGGUUGGAAAGUUUCGGCGGUUGGGGAUGGACUCGCGGCUUAUCAGCUUGUUGGUGGGGUAGUGGCUUACCAAGGCUUUGACGGGUAGCCGGCCUGAGAGGGUGACCGGCCACAUUGGGACUGAGAUACGGCCCAGACUCCUACGGGAGGCAGCAGUGGGGAAUAUUGCACAAUGGGCGGAAGCCUGAUGCAGCAACGCCGCGUGCGGGAUGACGGCCUUCGGGUUGUAAACCGCUUUCGCCUGUGACGAAGCGUGAGUGACGGUAAUGGGUAAAGAAGCACCGGCUAACUACGUGCCAGCAGCCGCGGUGAUACGUAGGGUGCGAGCGUUGUCCGGAUUUAUUGGGCGUAAAGGGCUCGUAGGUGGUUGAUCGCGUCGGAAGUGUAAUCUUGGGGCUUAACCCUGAGCGUGCUUUCGAUACGGGUUGACUUGAGGAAGGUAGGGGAGAAUGGAAUUCCUGGUGGAGCGGUGGAAUGCGCAGAUAUCAGGAGGAACACCAGUGGCGAAGGCGGUUCUCUGGGCCUUUCCUGACGCUGAGGAGCGAAAGCGUGGGGAGCGAACAGGCUUAGAUACCCUGGUAGUCCACGCUGUAAACGGUGGGUACUAGGUGUGGGGUCCAUUCCACGGGUUCCGUGCCGUAGCUAACGCUUUAAGUACCCCGCCUGGGGAGUACGGCCGCAAGGCUAAAACUCAAAGGAAUUGACGGGGCCCCGCACAAGCGGCGGAGCAUGCGGAUUAAUUCGAUGCAACGCGUAGAACCUUACCUGGGUUUGACAUGGAUCGGGAGUGCUCAGAGAUGGGUGUGCCUCUUUUGGGGUCGGUUCACAGGUGGUGCAUGGCUGUCGUCAGCUCGUGUCGUGAGAUGUUGGGUUAAGUCCCGCAACGAGCGCAACCCUUGUUCACUGUUGCCAGCACGUUAUGGUGGGGACUCAGUGGAGACCGCCGGGGUCAACUCGGAGGAAGGUGGGGAUGACGUCAAGUCAUCAUGCCCCUUAUGUCCAGGGCUUCACGCAUGCUACAAUGGCUGGUACAGAGAGUGGCGAGCCUGUGAGGGUGAGCGAAUCUCGGAAAGCCGGUCUCAGUUCGGAUUGGGGUCUGCAACUCGACCUCAUGAAGUCGGAGUCGCUAGUAAUCGCAGAUCAGCAACGCUGCGGUGAAUACGUUCCCGGGGCU
rnacentral:rRNA from 1 species